UACGUAGGUGGCAAGCGUUAUCCGGAAUUAUUGGGCGUAAAGCGUGCGCAGGCGGUUAUGUAAGACAGAUGUGAAAUGCCCGGGCUUAACCUGGGAACUGCAUUUGUGACUGCAUGGCUAGAGUUUGGCAGAGGGGGGUAGAAUUCCACGUGUAGCAGUGAAAUGCGUAGAUAUGUGGAGGAACACCGAUGGCGAAGGCAGCCCCCUGGGUCAAGACUGACGCUCAUGCACGAAAGCGUGGGGAGCAAACAGG
rnacentral:rRNA from 1 species